AUUGAACGCUGGCGGCAUGCCUUACACAUGCAAGUCGAACGGCAGCACGGGUGCUUGCACCUGGUGGCGAGUGGCGAACGGGUGAGUAAUACAUCGGAACAUGUCCUGUAGUGGGGGAUAGCCCGGCGAAAGCCGGAUUAAUACCGCAUACGAUCUACGGAUGAAAGCGGGGGACCUUCGGGCCUCGCGCUAUAGGGUUGGCCGAUGGCUGAUUAGCUAGUUGGUGGGGUAAAGGCCUACCAAGGCGACGAUCAGUAGCUGGUCUGAGAGGACGACCAGCCACACUGGGACUGAGACACGGCCCAGACUCCUACGGGAGGCAGCAGUGGGGAAUUUUGGACAAUGGGCGAAAGCCUGAUCCAGCAAUGCCGCGUGUGGGAAGAAGGCCUUCGGGUUGUAAAGCACUUUUGUCCGGAAAGAAAUCCUUGGCUCUAAUACAGUCGGGGGAUGACGGUACCGGAAGAAUAAGCACCGGCUAACUACGUG
rnacentral:rRNA from 1 species